UGCAGUCGAGCGGUAAGGCCUUUCGGGGUACACGAGCGGCGAACGGGUGAGUAACACGUGGGUGAUCUGCCCUGCACUCUGGGAUAAGCUUGGGAAACUGGGUCUAAUACCGGAUAUGACCGCAUGCCGCAUGGUGUGUGGUGGAAAGAUUUAUCGGUGCAGGAUGGGCCCGCGGCCUAUCAGCUUGUUGGUGGGGUAAUGGCCUACCAAGGCGACGACGGGUAGCCGACCUGAGAGGGUGACCGGCCACACUGGGACUGAGACACGGCCCAGACUCCUACGGGAGGCAGCAGUGGGGAAUAUUGCACAAUGGGCGGAAGCCUGAUGCAGCGACGCCGCGUGAGGGAUGAAGGCCUUCGGGUUGUAAACCUCUUUCAGCAGGGACGAAGCGUGAGUGACGGUACCUGCAGAAGAAGCACCGGCUAACUACGUGCCAGCAGCCGCGGUAAUACGUAGGGUGCGAGCGUUGUCCGGAAUUACUGGGCGUAAAGAGUUCGUAGGCGGUUUGUCGCGUCGUUUGUGAAAACCCGGGGCUCAACUUCGGGCUUGCAGGCGAUACGGGCAGACUUGAGUGUUUCAGGGGAGACUGGAAUUCCUGGUGUAGCGGUGAAAUGCGCAGAUAUCAGGAGGAACACCGGUGGCGAAGGCGGGUCUCUGGGAAACAACUGACGCUGAGGAACGAAAGCGUGGGUAGCAAACAGGAUUAGAUACCCUGGUAGUCCACGCCGUAAACGGUGGGCGCUAGGUGUGGGUUCCUUCCACGGGAUCUGUGCCGUAGCUAACGCAUUAAGCGCCCCGCCUGGGGAGUACGGCCGCAAGGCUA
rnacentral:rRNA from 2 species